rnacentral:snRNA from 1 species
AGCUUUGUGCUGUGGUAGUGGUCAAUAGAUUUAUCUAAGGAGUGAUUAUUGCUAAUUGAAAACUUUUCUCAAUAUCGUGUCAUGCCAGGAUACAGUUGGCACUGGCAAUUUUUGAUAACUCUGGAGAGAG